UGCCCACAUCACAUUGAAACUCCAGUUUCCCUAUGAUCACUAAAGUUAAGCAAGGUCGGGUUUGCUCAAUAACUAGAUGAGUGACAUCUUGGGAAUACCAGGUGCUGUAA